AGCGAACGCUGGCGGCAGGCCUGACACAUGCAAGUCGAACGGAUCCUUCGGGAUUAGUGGCGGACGGGUGAGUAACACGUGGGAACGUGCCCUUUGGUUCGGAACAACUCAGGGAAACUUGAGCUAAUACCGGAUGUGCCCUUCGGGGGAAAGAUUUAUCGCCAUUGGAGCGGCCCGCGUCUGAUUAGCUAGUUGGUGAGGUAAAGGCACACCAAGGCGACGAUCAGUAGCUGGUCUGAGAGGAUGAUCAGCCACAUUGGGACUGAGACCAGGCCCAAACUCCUACGGGAGGCAGCAGUGGGGAAUCUUGAGCAAUGGGCGAAAGCCUGACGCAGCCAUGCCGCGUGAAUGAUGAAGGUCUUAGGAUUGUAAAAUCCUUUCACCGGGGACGAUAAUGACGGUACCCGGAGAAGAAGCCCCGGCUAACUUCGUGCCAGCCGCCGCAGUAACAC
rnacentral:rRNA from 1 species